GUCCUGGGGAGCUCUGCAGCAGGAUGGUGAGGAAGCCAUAAUCGGAAUGGGGAGCCAAUCCAACCUUGUCACCUUGAUGUGAAAAAUGUGGGUAGUUGUUCAAGGCAAGGAACUGCACGCCAUUCUCAAGUUUUUCUUGCAGGUUACCUAUACAUUGGCGGUUGCAUUGGCCAGUACUGUAUCCAGUCUUCCAGAGGGUUGGCGUAGUGCUUCAGGAAUGACCUGGCUUUGCUGAUCCCAUCCCUCGAACUCGUGUCAUACCUGAUAGGCCGUCGGAUGUCGGUCGAUGCGAACAACUCUUUGUACUCCGGUGAAGUUUCAAAGAACUCCGAGGCGGCUUCAAGGGCGCCAUUCAUGACGGAUUUGCCGACACUGUGGUUUACCACCUGGCAGCAUUAGUACAGAGGGUGGUGAGUUCAAAGCUCAUUGUCAGCGGAAGAAGCAAGUGUCGAAGAAUAAGGAGCAGCAAGAAAGCAGCAGACAGUAACCUGGAAGCAUCCCUGCUCUCGGCACGCCCGCGCAAUGUCCUGGAUGGCAAGCGCCCGCAUGGCCGGGUCCUUGCUGAGCCUGCCGAGGUCGAUCACUGGCAGUGGCCGCGACGGCGGCAGCGGCGGCAGCUGCCCAACCUGGCUUGCCAUGGAUGCUGGCGGAUGCAGUGAAGCCGGUGUUGCAUGCCAGGAACUGUAUUUAUAGGCGCCCUGGCCGGAUCUCGGGGACGAAAAGCAGGAGCUGAUACGGAGAGGUACUGCUGCCGGCCACUGUGCAAACCUUCCUUUUUUUUAUCGGCAUCUAAGCCUGGGUAAAUACCUUGUACGAAGACUUUUGAGCGCACUGGAAGAUACUAAGGUUUUCCAAAAGAUUGGGUCCAGGAGCAGGCCGCGUGCGUCCAGAUGAACAAAGAUCUUCCCCCCAGAGAUCAGAGGCAGAUCGCUUGGGUUCCUUUCGCUUGGCUUGGACAGUGGCCAUUUUUCUGUUGUUCCCUCGCCAAGUUGCGCCGGGCACAUACAUCCCUCUUGCUCGGGAAAUUCGCGUGGCUGAUGCGGACCGGACCCCGGAUAAUGCUUCAUUGUUUUUUGCCGCGGGGUUGCGGCGGUGGACGCCGAAUCCACGGCAAGUUGGGGCGCCAGCCCGGUCUGGGGGUGGAGAGGUUUCCGGUUUCGGCUGCUGCCUUGAUGGAUGCUGACAAAAGGGCUCUUCUGGUUCGGGGACACAGCCCAGGCCUUUUGUCAGAUCAGAGGCGGCACAUUUCUGUGUGACUGCCUGACUGGAGAUCUUUUUGGGCGUGUGGCACGCGCCUCUUGUCGCACGAGUCAGUUGGCAACUUGGCAUCGUUUUUUUUUUGGUAUAUAAGAAAAGAACUUGGCAUUUUUUUUGUUAAUAAGAAAAGAACUUGGCACUA